rnacentral:pre_miRNA from 1 species
UCAUGAUGAUGAUGAUGAUCAUGAUCAUGAUGAUGAUGAUCAUGAUGAUGAUGAUCAUUAUGAUCAUGAUCAUGAUGAUGAUGAUGA